UCUUUAGCUUGCUAAGGAGGAAAGUGGCGCACGGGUGCGUAACGCGUAUGCAACCUACCUUAAUCAGGGGGAUAGCCCGAAGAAAUUCGGAUUAACACCGCAUAAAAUCACAGCACAGCAUUGUGCAAUGAUCAAAUAUUUAUAGGAUUAAGAUGGGCAUGCGUGACAUUAGUUAGUUGGCGGGGUAACGGCCCACCAAGACCACGAUGUCUAGGGGAUCUGAGAGGAUGACCCCCCACACUGGUACUGAGACACGGACCAGACUCC
rnacentral:rRNA from 1 species